AGAGUUUGAUCAUGGCUCAGGAUGAACGCUAGCUGGAGGCUUGAUACAUGCAAGUCGAGCGGGAUUGGGUAGCAAUACCCAUGAGAGCGGCGCACGGGUGAGUAACGCGUACACGACCUACCUUUGACUGGGGGAUAGCCCUGGGAAACUGGGAUUAAUACCGCAUAUAAUUCUGAUAAAUAAAGAGUUGGAAUGAAAGUUCAGGCGGUCAGAGAUGGGUGUGCGUCUGAUUAGCUAGUUGGUAAGGUAACGGCUUACCAAGGCGAUGAUCAGUAGGGGGCGUGAGAGCGUGGUCCCCCACACGGGUACUGAGACACGGACCCGACUCCUACGGGAGGCAGCAGUAAGGAAUAUUGGACAAUGGCCGCAAGGCUGAUCCAGCCAUCCAGCGUGCAGGAAGAAGGCCCUACGGGUUGUAAACUGCUUUUGUCAGGGAAUAAACCUGUGGAUUUACUCCGCAGCUGAAGGUACCUGAAGAAUAAGCACCGGCUAACUCCGUGCCAGCAGCCGCGGUAAUACGGAGGGUGCGAGCGUUAUCCGGAAUUACUGGGUUUAAAGGGUGCGUAGGCGGCUAUGUAAGUCAGGAGUGAAAGUUUGCGGCUCAACCGUAAAAUUGCUUUUGAUACUGCAUAGCUGGAAUCAGGAUGAGGUCAGCGGAAUGUGGCAUGUAGCGGUGAAAUGCAUAGAUAUGCCAUAGAACACCAAUUGCGAAGGCAGCUGGCUAGACCUGUAUUGACGCUGAGGCACGAAAGCGUGGGGAGCGAACAGGAUUAGAUACCCUAGUAGUCC
rnacentral:rRNA from 1 species